CUAGCAAUUCUUUGGUUCCGGUGACAGCAGCCGGGCCAGGGGCCUAUCGCUCGGCCCUUAAGAGGAGUCCUCCCAUGGACUGUGUGUGUUCCCCGCAGCAGUGGGGGCUGCUUAUCCACGUCAGCAGGCUGAUGCUACCUGGAUUGGACCAGGGCUUCUUUGGCUUGUGUUUCUUUUUCUCGUGACUAAAGGGAGAUUGAGACCCCUUUUUCCCCACCUUCCACCUUUCGCGAGGUAUCCUCGCGAGUCCAAGAGUCGGGGAGUUUAUCCCCCCCUCCCCGUGAGAGCUGGCUAGCGGCCGAGGAGCUCUCUGCGAUUGCCCUCUUGGAGAGGACCCCCGUCCGGAGAUAAAUGAAGAGCUCAGCGGUGAUGGGGGUAAAGAUGUGAAGCAGAACAUGGCUAGGCACAAAGAUCAAGGGAAGAUAACGGGGAACAGGCCGACCAGACUGGAGAGGCGGGCCGGACCGGGCCGCAGGGCAGACGGGCUGCGUUAUGAGCCGUGAUCAGCGCGCUGCGCCGGGCUCUCUCCCUUAACUGCGCUCAUUUGUUUCACGAGAGCUUUUGACAGGAGGGGUGCGAGGAGGGAGAAGAGGCUCACAGGUAAACAGAUAUUUUAAAGCAGCUCAGGCGCAUUCGCGAGACGCCAGAGGAGACAGGCCCCGGCUUCUCCUCCGUUUGCUAUCUCCCUCCUGCCAGAAAGUAUCCGGGGUUACACCUUCGCCCUCAUCCACUCACCAAGUAAGAUCCCUACAGGCCCUAGAAAUGCAACUGGCCGAUCACCGAGGGUAAGGACAGGCUCCAUCACAAUGAUUUAGCCAUGCUCUGAACCAAGAAGAAAGGUUGAAUGCUAGGAACUAGACCUUUCCCAUCUCCUGCCUGUAGGUAACAAGGCUUCCAAAGAACCAGACAGGAUCGGCUUCCCCCAGUCCCAAACGGAGAGUCAUUGUCCUUGCAAACAUAGCACAGUAGCGUUGCAGCUAAAAAGAACACAGUGACAUCCAGCUGAGUCACAGGCUGGAAGUCGUAAAGAAUACGGCUGCCAAGGAGAAUGAGCCCAGGACGGCCGUGGAUUGAUCCUUCCAGGCAGGACACUGUGCUUUGUGGAAAUCCCCUUGGAAAAGAGACCUGACCAGCCAGGCCCAGCCUAGUGAUCCAAUUACCUGUCAAGCUCAGCUACACAUAAUUGAGUCCAGUGAGGAGCCAGGUCAAUAAACCAAACCAUCUUCUCAGCCCAGUCCAGUAGCAUGAACCUGCCGGUCCAAAGUGCCAGCCUCUGAGAGGAACCACCCAAUGUCUCAUCCAUCCCUGAUGAACCAUCACACUGUGACCAAAGCAGAGUCCGAAACUAGAAGGCACAGUUUUUCAGCAUUAAAGGGAGCAGCAGGAUCCUUAAGACUCUCCUGGGGCUUCUCCUCUCUGCAUCUGACCCUUGGAAGAGAUCAAGAAGCCUACAGACUCUCCUUCUGCUUAAAACCAAGAAUGACAUGUUCUGCAAAGUUAAGUAUAAUCCUAUAUGGGGAAAAAGAUCUUUAAUGGGAUAAAGGGCUUUCAAGGAUUUCUAAAGCACAGGCUAAAUUAGGUGGUAACAGGAAGGAUAAUAUCAGAAAGAAAAUAGUUGCAAAUAAAACAAACUACCUGAUCCUGAAGUGGAGAUAAAAGGGAGGAAUUCUGAAGAAAACAACUAGAACCAAAGAGGGUUGCCAUCAAUUGGGGAAUAGCUGAACAAAUCAUAGUAUGUGAAUAUAAUUUAAGUGAUUUGAGGUAUUAGUCUAAACCUAAUUUCUGCCAGACUGCUAUCCAAUUUUUACAGUAGUUUAUGUCAAAACAGGAAGGCAUUCCUCUAGUAACUGAGGUUUUUUUUAGAUUUAUAUAUUACUAUACAAUUGUGUUUAAUUGCUUCUACAUAUUAUAUGCCUAAUCUGAUUCAGUGAUUGACCUUUUUUUUAAACCUAGAUCAAAUUGUUUUAUCUGUAUAUGUGUAUAUGUAUGUGUAUGUAAAAUGUGUUGUGCUGUACAAUUUACACAUAUAUAUGUAUAUAUAUAUAUAAUUUAUGUAUUUUCUUUUCCCCUAUUUUCAUGUAUAUGUAUAGAGAGAGAAUAUAUGUGUAUAUACAAUGUUUUCUUUUUCCCAGUUACAUAUAAAGACAAUCUUUAAAAUUUUGAAUGCUAAAUUCUCUCCCUUCCUUCUGCCUCUUCCCCCAUUCCCUGAAGGCAAAUGUAUUAUCAAUUAUACAUGUGAAGUCCCACAACCAGAACAAGACUGGAACCCAAAGGUGACAGUAAGACAACAGCACAGAUCCCCUUCUGAAAGGCAUUGAGUCCAAGUCAUCUGAGGCCUGGGACAAGGAUUUGGGGAUUUUUAGCCUGAACUAAGAAGAUUCGGGGGAAAGCAACAGCUAUCAUCAAAGACCUGAAGAAUAGUAACACGGAAUAAGGAUUAGAUUUCCUCUGUUUAAUCCCAAAGGACAGAACCACGACUGAUGUGUGGAAGUUGCUUUGUAAAAAUCAAAGUAACCUUGUCAAAAAGGAAAUAAAGUUUGUCUAGCAUGAGCUGAGCUCUAUGCUUUUAUCACUGCCACAAGGGAGUCACUAACAAUUUCUUUAAUGAUUUAUUCUGGAAUUUUCCAGGAAUCAAAGCCAAGCUCCGUGGCCUAUAGUUUGCAGACUGUACCUCUCCUUUUAUAAAAAAAAAUGAGACAUUUGUUCUUCAGCGCUCUCUUAUUCUCCAUGAUCCUUCAGAAAUCAAUGGCUGGCUCAGUUAUAAAAUCAAUUUGUUCUUACAGUAUUUGAGUAUAUAGUUCUGGGCUAGGUGACUUGAAUUUAUUAUAUGCCAAGUAGGUGUUCUCUUACUAUCUCCUAACUUUUCUUGGAUAUCAACUAUCCAAUGGCUAUUUUUGUUCUCUCAUUUCCAGUGCAGAGGUCAUUUUCCUUGGCAGAGAAAAUAGAAUAAUAACCACUGAGCAGUUUUUCCUUCUCUAUAUUGUUGAUCAUUAUUCCAUAUAUUUGAAGCAAAGCAUUCCAUGUACUUUGAUCUUCAUUUCCCCCAAACAGAUUUUAAAAUGUCCUUUUUUUCCCUUGCCAGACACAGUUAAUUCUGAGCCAUAGCUCUGCUGAUGCUAUUUUUAUAGGGCUUAAAUUUUUUAUAGGACUCUUAAAUUCAUCUUCUGUUACCUGUGCUUUCUUCCAUCUUUUGUGCAUAUCUUUUAAAAAACCCAAAUUGGCGUGUGAAUUCCAUAUGCAGACAAUUUGCAUUUUUCUCCUUUAUGGAAUUGUUAUGCUUUUUCUUUAGAAGUUUGUUGCUGAGAAUUUCUCCUACUUCCUGCAUUGACUUUCCCUGCAUAUUUAUCUGUGAGAGGUAUUUUACUUAGCUUUCCUCUGAAAUCUGGUUUCCCAAAAUACAAGGCACAUGUGAGACAAUAUCCAACUUUCCUCUCUUUCCCUAUUAGAAUCCAUGGUCACUUCUUCCUUAAAGUUCCCAUUAUUUAAUCUGUUCUAGCACAUAAUUUCCCCUUGUUUUCUCCACAAUUUGAAGGCUAAGACAAGAUAAGUAAUUAUUACCGGCUCUGAUUCUGGCUGAGAGUACCAGCUGAUACCCAGGCUAGAAUGAAUGAAUUAAGCAUUUAUUAAGCAAUAGUUACACAUAACGUACUAUGCUCUGCACCUAGAAAAAGUGCCAAGAGAAGGAAAACAUUCCCUGCUUCUCUGGGGAUGUGCGGCAAUUGUGACUUGCCCAGGGUGUGGCUGAGACCAGAUAGGUGCUCCUGACUCCAGGGCUGUGCACUAUCCACUGCACCACCGGGCUGCCCCCGAAGAGCCCAUAUUCUAAUGAGAAACACAAUAUGGAAGCUCUCAGCAGCAAGUCAGAUGGAAAGAUUCUGUGGUCCUGAGGGUGCAGCAGCAAAGCAGACCUCAGCGUUUCUUCUUAAAUGUCCCUUCCACUGAUAAAACCAAGUUUCUGAUGUGGAACCAUUGGACAGCGCCGAGGGCAAGAACUUUACUUCCUAGGUCUUCAGGACCACUUGCUCCUGUAGCACCCACAGGAACAAUCGUCGGGCGGCUGCCGGGGCAGCUAUUGCCAAAGCCCUUGGAUUCAGGGCCCCGAUGCUCUCCCGUCUCUCCUGCAGGAUUGCUGGGCUGGCGUGCCUGGUCCCUGACUGGCACUUGGCUGGCAGCUGCCACCCCAGCUAGCUCCCCCUUCACAGGAGUUGCUUCCCUGGAGGAUGGUUGGGAAGCAGGCCGGUGGGUGAGGGGAAAGACGUCUCCUCUGCCUAUCUGCUGACUGGGGACAGUUGGUCAGCGGCUGUUGCUGCUGGGGAUCAGGGGGCCUUAGCUGGAGUCUCCCAUCAUUUCUAUAACACGCCUCGGUGCCAGACUCGGCUGUUUCCUGAAUUCCUCCUCCAUUUCCUUUCUGUGUAGUACACUGUGAUGACAAAAUUGCUUCCAUUUUUUCUUCCAUUUGCCCUGUAUCCACAGGUUUUCCAUGCUUCUCUUGGCUGAGCCCAGGGAGCUGAAUCAUUGUGCGCACUCCCUUCUUCACUGAGACUCUCUACUCCUCACCCUGGCUAGGGUCCAGAGAAGCAUGACCUUGACAUACUCUUUGGCUUGUUAAAUCCCAAUCUUAUCAUCCCAGGAUGAAUUGUUGAAAGAUUAAUUUUUGGUUCAUACCUAGAUCUCAAAAUGAGGAAUAAAAAAGGUAUUCAAUAA